rnacentral:rRNA from 1 species
UGGGGAAUCUUGCGCAAUGGGCGAAAGCCUGACGCAGCAACGCCGCGUGCGGGAUGACGGCCUUCGGGUUGUAAACCGCUUUCAGCAGGGACGAUAGUGACGGUACCUGCAGAAGAAGCCCCGGCCAACUACGUGCCAGCAGCCGCGGUAAGACGUAGGGGGCAAGCGUUGUCCGGAUUUAUUGGGCGUAAAGAGCUCGUAGGCGGUUUGGCAAGUCGGGUGUGAAAUCUCCGGGCUCAACUCGGAGGGGCCACUCGAUACUGCUAUGACUAGAGUCCGGUAGGGGAGCGUGGAAUUCCCGGUGUAGCGGUGAAAUGCGCAGAUAUCGGGAGGAACACCAGUAGCGAAGGCGGCGCUCUGGGCCGGAACUGACGCUAAAGAGCGAAAGCGUGGGGAGCGAACAG